rnacentral:lncRNA from 1 species
GUGAUGAUUUUGAAGGAUGAUGAAGUUAGUUGUAGUAGUAAUUAUUUAAAAUAAGUAACACACAUACAAAAUACACUUCGAAUGUUCAUGUGGGGAACAUAUAUUUGGACAAUCAACAUCCUGUUUACAGUUAUUAUAAAAUAUUGCAAGAGGAUAAUGGAGUAAUGAGAAAAAAAAUGUGGUAAACACUUCAAAGGUUUAAAGACUUGUUGAGCAAACCAAGACUUAGGGAAAUAAAGGCCCUUUUCAAUGAUCAAGAAGUGUAAAUUAACUCAACAACACUUUAGAAUUCGUGUCAUUUAGUUCCAAAACCAUCACCAAAGGAUAAAGAAAGAAAAAUGAUCAAGACCAUAAAUGUUGUGGUUGUUAUGGUCAUCGGUAACCACAAGCUACGACCGUAACAACCAAUAAAAUUUAAAUGUAUUGUUUUUCUUUGAGAACUUGGAUGAACAUAUAUGUAAUCAGUGAGUAAUGCACCAAUUCAGUAGUACCUAGGCUAUGAAUAGACUUAGUUUGCUUUGGUUUCUCACCACUUUUGACCAUAGUAAUCAUAUAACUUAGCAUUUUACUCAAUAAAGUUUAUUGUUUUCUUUAUUUGAUUUAGGUAAGAUCAUCACUAUAAUGACUGGG